rnacentral:other from 1 species
AUGACCCUACCGUGUGCGAAGCGGGCCAGACAGUUUUGUUCCAACACCAACAUAUAGGGAGCCUGGGCUCUGGUGAUGGCAUGGAAGCCGCCACGAGCGGACCCAUAAAGUCACCAGGAGGGCACCCACCUGCAGAGCGCGGGGAUAUAAACGGUCGGCCGACACGGCACGGUGGGGUUUUC